GAUGAAGAACGUAGCGAAAUGCGAUACUUGGUGUGAAUUGCAGAAUCCAGUGAACCAUCGAGUCUUUGAACGCAAGUUGCGCCUCAAGCCAUUAGGUUGAGGGCACGUCUGCCUGGGCGUCACAUAUCGUUGCCUGAUGCUAGUUUCCUCGUGAUGGGUGACUGUGCAGGGCGAAUGAUGGCUUCCCGUGAGCAUUGUUGCCUCAUGGUUGGUUGAAAAUUGAGUCCUUGGUAGUGAGCGCCGUGAUAGAUGGUGGUUGAGUGACGAACGAGACCCAAUCAUGUGAGACCCCUACCGAAUUUGGCCUUCAUGACCCACGUGCGUCUUUGGAACGCUCAUGACGAGACCUCAGGUCAGGCGGGGCUACCCGCUGAGUUUAAGCAUAUCAAUAAGCGGAGGA
rnacentral:misc_RNA from 1 species